AUUGAACGCUGGCGGCAGGCCUAACACAUGCAGGUCGAGCGGAUGACGGGAGCUUGCUCCUUGAUUCAGCGGCGGACGGGUGAGUAAUGCCUAGGAAUCUGCCUGGUAGUGGGGGACAACGUUUCGAAAGGAACGCUAAUACCGCAUACGUCCUACGGGAGAAAGCAGGGGACCUUCGGGCCUUGCGCUAUCAGAUGAGCCUAGGUCGGAUUAGCUAGUAGGUGAGGUAAUGGCUCACCUAGGCGACGAUCCGUAACUGGUCUGAGAGGAUGAUCAGUCACACUGGAACUGAGACACGGUCCAGACUCCUACGGGAGGCAGCAGUGGGGAAUAUUGGACAAUGGGCGAAAGCCUGAUCCAGCCAUGCCGCGUGUGUGAAGAAGGUCUUCGGAUUGUAAAGCACUUUAAGUUGGGAGGAAGGGCAGUAAGUUAAUACCUUGCUGUUUUGACGUUACCGACAGAAUAAGCACCGGCUAACUCUGUGCCAGCCGCCGCAGUAC
rnacentral:rRNA from 1 species